AUGGAGAUGUUAGUUUACAUAUACCGAAAUUGGAAUGAUACAGAAAGUUAUUUUGGCCCCUGUGAAAGGAUGACAGGCUUUACCUGAAAUGUUCCACAAUAUG
rnacentral:snRNA from 1 species